ensembl:lncRNA
CGGCGGUCGCCAUGUUGGUGGCGCGAGUUCGCUUUAGCGCCGGAGGAGCGGCCGCGAGCCGGGUUAAGAUGUCGGGAAAGGGGGAGCUGGGCGGUCGCUCCGAGACGGUGCGGAGGGCUGGAAGCGGAGGGGCAGAGCGCCGUGGCGGUUCGCGGUUAGCGGGGCUCUGAGGCGGGAGCGGCGCCCGCUGAGGUGGGUGCGCGGCGGUGUGAGGCGGUGCGAGCCGGGGCCGCGCUGCGCUGCGGCGGGAGGGGAGGCUGCCGGGGACAGGGCCUGGGAGCGCGGUGCCGAGCUGCCUGCUGUCGUGUGCGUUUUGCGAGCAGGGCUGAGGCGUCGCGGGGGCGGGAGAACUCAGGGAGCAGCGUGUGGCCGUGCCGGCCGCGGGGCCGCUGGGCCGUGCCUUCGGUUUGGGUAGCAGUGCUGGCGGUGCGUGGCUGCGGAGGGCGAUGUGUGUCCGGCAGGAGGAGCUUUGCUCGCUGCUCAACGCGCUGUCCUGUAUUUAUCUACAGAGCCACACACAGGGGGAGGGUAUGGUGGGGUAACCUUCAAGGCCAGGUUGGAUGGGGCCCUGGGCAGCCUGGUCUAGUACCAGAUGUGGAGGUUGGUCGCCCUGCCUGUGGCAGGGGGUUGGAACUUGAAGAUCCUGGGGGUCCAUUCCAACCCAAGCCAUUCUGUUGGGUUCAUUCCUCUCAGCUAGGCUGGAGUUGGCUGAGCUGACUUGUUUCCCUGCCUUCUAAGCAGUGCUUGCUGCGUCACACUGGCUAAUCUUUAUCAACGCUCCCACUUUGUGUGCUGUCUCAGCUGCAGCAACGCCCUCUUCCUGGCUGCUGCUUUGGGGAAAUGGCGUGUAGAGUUCCGUGCACUGAGCAUCAUUGCUGUUUCUGUAGUGCUUUGUGUCACGGACGGGGGAAAUGAUCCAUUUCUCAAAGAGAAGGUGAAUUUCUGUUAAGGGAAAGGGUGGUUAUUGCUGAAAUAAUCCUUACUCCAAAGUGGGAGGAAACACAAUGUGUUGUAUGGUGUGUUAAAUAACUUUGUUUCUCCUUACAGCUGAUUCCUGUGAAAUAAAGUCUUUUAUUCUUUCAAGAAGAUACUCCACUGAGAGGAGUUGGAGAGUUCUGUAGGCUCCCUGGAAGUGUGGGCCAAAGUCCAGUAGUGGUAUAGGUCAGGAAAAAGGAUUUACAAGUUUUUCUUUUCUAAAGUAUUUUGGCUCCUCCUGGAGGUAAGUGCAGUGAAUUUCUCAGGAUAACACCUCACAGUAACUACACAGGCAUGGUGGUCUGUUUUCGCCAUGGUGCAAUCAGAUGGUGAAGGACUGUCACGAGAUGUUAAGUAAUUCACAUCACAAAACCUAAACCUUGGCAUCUUGAAAUAUUUGUUGGUAUUGUAGCAAUAUUUGCCAUUCUUCUAUCUCUUUAAAUCCACAUCAGUCUUGUCAAAGGAUCUGAGCCAGCUUUUUGCCUUCUGCAUCUUCCCACAGAAGGCCUGGUGUCUUAGGGCAGCACAUGCAACUCAUGUAGCUUCUGCACACCCCACCUUAUCCAGUGCUUCAUUCAUCACAGAAGAAAAAAAUAUAAUGCUCUGUUGCUGCUAUAACCUCCGGUUUAGUUUGUACAUCUGAAGAGUUUUGAUUGAAAAGCACUGCUCUCUUUGUUUUAUUUCUCCAUGUGGAUGCUUUCACUUUGCUGAAGGGGAAAAAGAAAAACAGUAUUAUAUGUCAGAACAGUGCUGUCCUUAAACUUUAAGGCUAAGCUUAUGCUUAUGUUUGUGCAGCUGAUACCGAGUAAUGAUGGUAAGUAGUACGAUAGGGUGUGUGUUUUCUACAAACGGCAGAAAACAUGGAUAUAAAAUUGUCCAGGAUAAAUCUGCUGACAUAGCAACUACAUACUUUGCUUUUGUGUGUUCGGUAUCACUGAUACCACUUGCAGUGAUUCCUUCUCUUCCUUCCCCCACCUUGUUUCCAUGCUGCUGCUCUGGGUAGGAGGCAAGGAUCCUGCUUUGCAGAUGAAAUUACUUCCCUGUUUUACUGUGUUUCUUUAUCCGAUAAUGUAGAUGCUGCUGAUGUCUCAGUGAAGAGAGAACUGAGGUGAAAAAGUAAUGAAAGGAAUGCUUGAUGUGCCAGACAAGUAAAAUAGUUUCCUACGUUGUAUAGUUCACUUUCAGGAGUUUGGGGGUACCCGCUAUUUGUCAGGCUAGAUUUUACACAGCUUAGAAGCUUGGAAUGUUAAAUCCUGUGUUAUCUCAAACGUAGGUCAUCAUUUUACACUGUUCAUCUGGAAAUGCUCACACCCACUUACCUUCUGACCCAGCAGGUCUUAACUGUGAGAUCCACAAGAAGCUUAUAGCCAUAUUGCAGAAAUAAGCACUGUCUCAGUGUCCCAUGUGAAAAGACUUAAAGUGACUAAAGAACUGAAGGCCUGCCUUUACUGUGUUUUGAGUACGUGGAUAUACUCUGAUUUAAUGCAUUUUAUGAAAGCUGCUUCAGGUGUUUGUAUGGUCCCGAGCCUGCUAAGCUGUCACAUAUGUCUGCCUUUGCUGUGCCAGCAUCCUACACUGCAGAAACUACAAGUUUUGUUGCAAAAACGAAUUUGGUCUCAGUGCAAUCAGGUAAGCAACCACUCUGUGCCCUGAGAGUAAGGAGAAGCAGCUGGAAGUGGUGGAAGACGGUGCAGAGAACAAGGAUAAGUAGCAACGUGUGAUGCGUUUGCCUUCUGCAAAGAAGCAGUUAGUACAUUUUGUAUGCUUUUCUUGCUUUCAUCGUGGUAAAUUCUUGCUCCUAAUUAAAACCAGAAGAUUUUGUUGUAAAUUCAGCCUUCACUGGAUAACGUACUGGAAACAUGCCUGCAAUCUGCACGAGAAAUGCGUGCAUGUACCAGAUUGGUGUGUACAACAUAUGCAAGAGUGUAAAAGCAUUCCAGGGUAAGUUUUAAGGUGUUUUGGUUUUGUGGAGACACCAUCCACAUCAGCACAGCUCAGAGAGCUGUUAAGAUGUUGGCCUUCUCUCAGGUUGUGUGUACUCACUGUUGGCCCUAUGUAAUUGCCAGCACACAAGUCAGCUGGGUGGGAAGGUUUUCAUAAUGGCUUGUGAAGGUGACACAUGCAAUUUGUAUUUCUCUUGGCACGUAAAUAAGUUUUAAAAUUGCACUUUCUUUGUUGUCUGCAGUCCCUUUGGAUGAAGGGGGAGAGCUGUAGAGUCACAGAGGCACUGCUGCUUGUAGAGCCUGUGAAAAAAAGCAGGUAAAGACGCAUUAAAGUGAGUGCUCUGAUCCUGAGCUUGGAGGAGCUGCCGUGGUGGUUUCCUUCUGUCAUCUACAGAAAUGCUUUGUGCAGUGGUAACAGCUUCAAGGUAAGGGUGUGGAUUCAGCUGGGUGUAGUAGGUAAGUAGGUCCGUGUGGUGUGAAAACACAGGUAAGAAUGGGAGGGUUGCAUAUCUAAGUGUUUGUAAAUGAAAUGGAGGGGGGAGGGGGGGAAGCAAUCGUUAAAUCUCUGGAAGACCUCAGGAUUCCUGUGAUAACUUUAUUAUAUUCUGUUUUUCAGCACAAGAAGAGCCUCUUCAGGUGUUGGGGACGUGUAAUGCUACCGAACUGCAGAACAUAAUAUGAGAUGGGGGGUGGACAGGCUACUCCAAGUCAUGGCCUCACAGAAACAGUUUCAGUAGAGAGGAAACCUCACAUUCUCUUGGAACUUCCAUGAAUUUAAGUGAGGACCCAUUGGCAGUGGUGAAACAGGAAUGUCGUCCGGAAGGCAGAACCCUCACACACAGCGUGUGGGAGUGCACAGAUGAACAGGAGUCUUCAUGCAUGAAAAUGGGCGUAUGUAUUUCAUGAACUAGAUUGUUCAGCAGAUUUUGCUUAACCUGCUUUGCACUAUGCCACCGAAAUGAGGACAACUGCAGACGUGUAUGUAAAGUGGCAAAUAUUAGCAAAAUUAAUUCCAAAGCAUGGCCUCUUUCAAGGCACUUUACAAACAAAUAGUAAUAAUGGGGCCACAAUUUAGUGAUUUCUAAGCUAUCUACAUUGAGUUUUGAAAUGUAUCUGAAAAUGAGUGCCAUCAAAGAACACAACGGAAAUUGGGCUCUGCCUUCCCAAAUUCUUUUAAGAGUUUCCUGGAAAAAAAAAAGAGUGCUGGGAUGGGCACAGCAGCAGGUGCAGGAGGACAAGGCAGACAGAGAGCAGUGUGUGUGCAUUAUCUGCUCCGGCAGCAGGGACCCAGUGUCACGUGUAUUGUGUCACCAAGCCACAGCCAGAGAGGAGGAGGGCAAGCCCUGCUUGUUAUAGCUGUUAAAGUCAGAACACCAUUUCUCAUAGUGAAAUCAUAGAAUGGCCUGGGUUGAAAAGGACUACAAUGAUUAUCUAGUUGCAACCCCCUGCUAUGUGCAGGGUCACCAACCACCAGACCAGGCUGCCCAGAGCCACAUCCAGCCUGGCCUUGAAUGCCUCAGGGAUGGGGCAUCCACAACCUCCUUGGGCAACCUGUUCCAGUGUGUCACCACCUGCUGUGUGCAAACUGCUUUGGAGAUGAUUCAGCCAUCAUCUGCACGUUAAAUGUCUGAAAAGACCUUUCGUUACCGCAUCAAGCACUGCCAGAGGACCACAUCAAACUGCUACCAUGGAGUAACAGUGAGAUUCAAAGCUGUGGCACAGGCACUGUAGGACCGCCUGGCACUGAGCUGAAGGUGCAACUACUGUCUGCGUGCAUCACUGAAUUGGCCUGAGACCAAACUACACACUUGAUAUCCAACAGCCACCAAUGCCCAGUGACAUGUUAACCACGUCAAUAAACAAUUAGCUAAACAGGUGCUGGGUUCUCCUGGUUAAAAGAAAACCAGACCUUCAUUAAAUUCUAAGAUAAGGUUGGAAAAAGAAUUGUUUCUGUAAUCCAUUAUCUGCUGCAUUAAUUUGGGAACUGGCUAAUUUCGAUCGCUUGAUUUGUUGGCUUAACUAAAAUUGGCAAUAAAAUCAUAUAAAAUACUGUGCAUU